rnacentral:rRNA from 2 species
GCUAAUACCGGAUAGGAUCUUCUCCUUCAUGGGAGAUGAUUGAAAGAUGGUUUCGGCUAUCACUUACAGAUGGGCCCGCGGUGCAUUAGCUAGUUGGUGAGGUAACGGCUCACCAAGGCAACGAUGCAUAGCCGACCUGAGAGGGUGAUCGGCCACACUGGGACUGAGACACGGCCCAGACUCCUACGGGAGGCAGCAGUAGGGAAUCUUCCGCAAUGGACGAAAGUCUGACGGAGCAACGCCGCGUGAGUGAUGAAGGCUUUCGGGUCGUAAAACUCUGUUGUUAGGGAAGAACAAGUACGAGAGUAACUGCUCGUACCUUGACGGUACCUAACCAGAAAGCCACGGCUAACUACGUGCCAGCAGCCGCGGUAAUACGUAGGUGGCAAGCGUUAUCCGGAAUUAUUGGGCGUAAAGCGCGCGCAGGCGGUUUCUUAAGUCUGAUGUGAAAGCCCACGGCUCAACCGUGGAGGGUCAUUGGAAACUGGGGAACUUGAGUGCAGAAGAGAAAAGCGGAAUUCCACGUGUAGCGGUGAAAUGCGUAGAGAUGUGGAGGAACACCAGUGGCGAAGGCGGCUUUUUUGGUCUGUAACUGACGCUGAGGCGCGAAA